CUCUUCCCCAACAAGACUCUUUUCCAACCUGGACCGGUUCACCCCUCCUUUAGCAACCUCGUGGUCCCCCGCUCCCCGGAAGUCACCAUGCUGAUGCCAAACUUAGUGCGGACACCCGAUAGGCAUAGCGCACUACAGCCCAGAACUCCUGCGCUCAAGCGAUCCUCCCGCCUCCGCCUCCCGAGUAGCCGGGUCUACAGGCACGCGCCACCGCGCCCGGCUGGAUGCACUACUUGACAUUCCCAUCAGCAACAUAUGAGGGCUCCAACUGCUCCGCAUCCUUGCCAGCACUAUUUUUUGUAUUGUUUUUGUCUGUCUGCUUACUUUUAAUAGCCGUCCUAGUAGGUGUGAACUGGUAUCUCAUUUCUCCUGGUUUUGAAUUGAAUUUGAUUUGCAUUUCCCUGGUGACUAAUGAUGUGGAGCAGCUCUUCAUGGGCUUGCUGGACAUUUAUAUAUGUUCUUUGCAAAAAUAUCUAUUCGAGUCCUUCAUCGUUUUUAAAAUUGGCUUGUUUUGUUGUUGUUGAAUUAUGAGAGUUCUUUUCAUAUUCUAGAUACCAGACCCUUAUCAGACAUAUAAUUUGCAAAUACUUUUUAUCCCAUAUGAGAAUUCUUCUCAUUGUCUUGAUAGUGUCCUUUGAUAGAGAAAAGUUUGCAAUUUUUUGAGUCCAAUUUAUCUUUUUCUUGUUGUUCCUUGUGCUUUUGGUGUCCUAGCUAAGAAACCAUUGCCAAAUCCAAGGUCAUGAAGACAACCCACCUUUUCUUUAAGAGCGCUACAGUUUCAGCUCCUAUAUUUCGGUAUCUGAUUCAUCAUGAAUUGAUUUUUGUAUAUGGUACAAGGUAAAGAUCCAGCUUCAUUUUUUUAAAUGUGAACAAGCAGCUGUCCCAGCACCAUUUGCUGAAGAGACUAUUCUCUCCCCCACUGAAUGGUACUAGCUCUCCUGUCAAAAAUCAGUAAAUCAUAGAUGUGAGUUUUAUUUCUGGACUCUCAGUUCCUUCCCCUGAUCUAUAUGAUCUAUAUGUCUUACACAUGAGAGUAUCACACUGGCUUGAAUACUGUAGUUUGUAGAAAGUUCUGAAACAAGGAAGUAUGAGUUCUCCAGUUUUGUUCUCCUUUUGCAAGACUGUUUUGGCUAUGUGGGGUCCCUUGCAGUUCCAUUUGAAUUUGGGAUCAUCUUUCCCAUGUCUGCAUAAAAAGCCAUCGGAAUUUUGAUAGGGAUUGUACUGACGAUAUUGCUUUGGGACGCAAUAAUAUUAAGUCUUCCAAUCAAGGAAC